GACGUAGGGCGCGAGCGUUGUCCGGAUUUAUUGGGCGUAAAGAGCUCGUAGGCGGCUUGUCGCGUCGACUGUGAAAACCCGUGGCUCAACCAUGUGGUCUGCAGUCGAUACGGGCAGGCUAGAAUUCGGUAGGGGAGACUGGAAUUCCUGGUGUAGCGGUGAAAUGCGCAGAUAUCAUUUGGAACGCCAAUGGUGAAAACAGCUCGCUGGGGGUUUGCUGACGCUGAGACACGAAAGCCAGGGGAGCAAACGGG
rnacentral:rRNA from 1 species